AUCUGGCUGACGAGUCCCGAAUAGGACGAAAUGCGUCAAACUGGAU
rnacentral:hammerhead_ribozyme from 1 species